rnacentral:rRNA from 1 species
GGCUCAGGACGAACGCAAGCGGCGUGCCUAACACAUGCAAGUCGAGCGGGGCCAUAUUGGGAGUAAUCCUGGUCUGGUCUAGCGGCGAACGGGUGCGUAACACGUGAGCAACCUACCCCGGCGUCCGGGAUACCCCUUCGAAAGGAGGGUUAAUACCGGAUACCGUCGAGCCGGCGCCUGCCGGUUCGAGCAAAGGAGCAAUUCGCGCUGGGAGGGGCUCGCGGCCUAUCAGCUAGUCGGUGGGGUAACGGCCUACCGAGGCGACGACGGGUAACCGGCCUGAGAGGGUGGCCGGUCACACUGGGACUGCGACACGGCCCAGACUCCUACGGGAGGCAGCAGUGGGGAAUCUUGCGCAAUGGGGGAAACCCUGACGCAGCGACGCCGCGUGGGCGAAGAAGGCCUUCGGGUUGUAAAGCCCUGUUGGUAGGAAAGAAAACUGACGGUACCUACUGAGGAAGCCCCGGCUAACUCCGUGCCAGCAGCCGCGGUAAGACGGAGGGGGCAAGCGUUGUCCGGAAUUACUGGGCGUAAAGGGCGCGUAGGCGGCUUUUUAAGUCGGUUGUGAAAGCCCCGGGCUCAACCCGGGGAGGCCAGCCGAUACUGGGGAGCUUGAGUGCAGGAGAGGGAAGUGGAAUUGCCGGUGUAGCGGUGGAAUGCGUAGAUAUCGGCAAGAACACCCGCGGCGAAGGCGGCUUCCUGGACUGCAACUGACGAUGAGGCGCGAAAGCUAGGGGAGCGAACAGGAUGAGAUACCCUGGUAGUCCUAGCCCUAAACGAUGGUCACUAGGUGUCGGGGGUAUCGACCCCCCCGGUGCCGCAGCCAACGCAUUAAGUGACC